GCUGGGAGCAGUGGUGCACACCUAUAAUCCCAGUGGUUUGGAGGCUGAGGCAGGGGGAUUGUUAGUUCAAAUCCAGCCUCAGCAAUGGUGAGGUGGUAAGCAACUCAGUGAGACCCUGUCUCUA
rnacentral:sRNA from 1 species